rnacentral:SRP_RNA from 1 species
UUCGGGGACUCUUGGAGGCAUGGCCGGAAAACCCCGUCAGGACCGAGAGGUAGCAGCGGUAUUCGGACCAUGCUUGUCGAGAUGUUCUCCGAAGGU